GUAGAAGUCAACAGUCAGCAGGUAGAAGUCAGCAGGUAGUAGUCAGCAGGUAGCAGUCAGCAGUCAACAGGUAGCAGUCAGCAGGUAGUAGUCAGCACAUAGCAGUCAGCAUAUAGCAGUCAGCAGGUAGAAGUCAUCAGUCAGCAGGUAGCAGGUAGUAGUCAACAGUCAGCAGGUAGCAGGUAGUAGUCAAAAGUCAGCCGGUAGCAGUCAGCAUGUAGCAGUCAGCAUAUAGCAGUCAGCAUAUAGCAGUCAGCAGGUAGCAGUCAGCAGGUAGCAGUCAGCAGGUAGCAGUCAGCAGGUAGCAGUCAGCAGGUAGCAGUCAGCAUGUAGAAGUCAGCAGGUAGCAGUCAUGCACUAUAGAGACUAUAGUCUCGGAUUUAGCCCAAGCAGUCUUUGUGGGAAAACAUCUAGAAACACUGCAUUUCAUAAGCCAACAUUCCAACUAGCUCUCACAGAUUCACUGCAGAAUGUGACGUUUGUGUGUGAACGUAAAAUUGGUUAUGUUUAGACAUUGAUUUAAAGUUUAAGUUUUAGGAUAGGGUUAAAAAAAAAAAAAAAAAAAUUCCUUGCAUUGGGGAUUGAACAUGCGACCCUCAGAUCCAAAGGUCGCGGCUUACGCAAAUCCACCACCCCCCAGUCCACAACGCCCUAGCAAAACCCAAGCCUACUUGAUGGUAAUAGCGCCACUUGCCUCUAGCAUGCUGGUUUUGAAGGCAUCUCGAUGUCCUGAGGACCUUGACGGACGUCACAUUUGGAAGUGGAUCUUGAGCGACCUGGCUGAACAUGCAACCCCUUAGCAAUAUGAAUGAACCUGUUUGGUAAUGAACAGUAAAGCAACUAACAUCAACACGGCUCAUCAUGGCUGUGAAUUUGCUGUUGAUGCUACAAGGGACGGAGAGAAUUAGAGACGAGAACAAACUUGAACAUGAGGAAGUUAAUAGGAAACCCAGCC
ensembl:lncRNA